UAUCUCCUCUCCGUCCUCUGUUGCCCUUUUCUGUUCUCCAACAAGAAGCUACGGAUGCAUAUUCUGACCCCUAAACAAUUAUCCAUCUUUGGCGAUGUCCACUGCACCUUGAGAAGAGACUCACAUUUGUAAAGUUCUUGGACUUCGUCGAGGGUGACUGUAAAUUAAUAUAAGCAGACGCAUAAAAGCUCGAAUGUGUCAGUUGAGAGGCCCUACGGGGGAUUAGAGCACUGGCACAGAGGUCGUUUUUGACCUCUUUCCACACAAAGAAGCAAGGAUGGUUCGGGUCGGCUGCUGUGACUGGACCACUCGGACUACGAUCGAGACGCGGUUCCAGAGAUAUACUGGACGACAAGAGCAUCUUCCAGUUCCUUACAGUGAGUCUCUUCGGUUAGUUGCCUUAGCUCGGCAGAGCUGAAUCGAAGCUUCUUCGCUUCUUUGACUGCCCUGACCAAGCCACCCUCUCGGCGCUGACUUCCCAGCAUUGCGUUCUUUAUUUUGCAAACAACAGUGCGAAAAGGGAGUUCUUUUACGCGGAGUCCCUUUUGAGAAUAAGCAUGAAGCAGGUCGCCGAAGGAAGCCGUUUACGCCUGUGGAAGGCCACGCAAGGCAACGUAGGCUCCGACUUUUGCAGCUUCUGGGUGUUGUAGCUGAUUGCUGUACCAAGGCGAGUCCGUCGCUGUGUCCAUUAGAGCUGACGGCACUACUGUAAGGAUCCAAUGACAAAGAAGUGUGCCCUGUUUUUCUCCUAGGACUAGGGUCUCCCGCAGGUCUCUUUUGCUGUGGAAACAGCGUUCGUGCUCUAAAGAGGAGUCUCGUACGGGAGUGUAUUUUUGCGCUAACACGCUUCUGCAUGGCGUGUGGGGCGACCUUGUAGAAAGCCGGGGAGGGGGAACUGAUUGCACAAGACUCCAGUUGAUGAGUCCAGGAAAGCGACUGCAGGAUGCACAGAACUAAAGCGUUAAGGUGCUACGAUCUCCCUGUUUCCCGCUUCUCGAGACACCGUUUUCUCGCAAGAAGGGAGACACUGUGAGGGGAACCGCCCCACAUAUUUAUUAUUGGAAAACAGUGUCUCCUUGACAGUCUCAUCACGUCUCCACGCCAAACGCGAAACGAUUGUGGCAGCUGCCUUGCCUAGAGCUGGAUCUGCAGUUUUUUAGAGGGCCGUAGCCCUCACGGGAAGGUAACAAAAAGGCAGACUUCUGGUUGGUCUCGAACGUAAAGUGCCUUGCUUCUGUAUAAAAAACCUAGUCUGUCGCGUAAAGACCACAAAUUUGGAAGCGGAGGUUUCUACUAGGGUCUAGGAUUGUCCUUUCUUUCAUACGCGACUACCCCCUGAGGUCUCUUUUCCAAUGUCUUUCGCCAUUUCUUCCGAAGCGG
rnacentral:lncRNA from 1 species